UAUUUGGGGUUUCAACAACAGAAACAAGGAUGUCCCCCUCACACAAAGUCUUUAUGAUGUCUGGUGGAGUUUGGUCACAGUAGUGUGUAUCAUUAUA